rnacentral:rRNA from 1 species
CAUGCAGUCGAACGAUGAUGCCCAGCUUGCUGGGUGGAUUAGUGGCGAACGGGUGAGUAACACGUGAGUAACCUGCCCUUGACUUCGGGAUAACUCCGGGAAACCGGGGCUAAUACCGGAUAUGAGCCGUCCUCGCAUGGGGGUGGUUGGAAAGUUUUUCGGUCAGGGAUGGGCUCGCGGCCUAUCAGCUUGUUGGUGGGGUGAUGGCCUACCAAGGCGACGACGGGUAGCCGGCCUGAGAGGGCGACCGGCCACACUGGGACUGAGACACGGCCCAGACUCCUACGGGAGGCAGCAGUGGGGAAUAUUGCACAAUGGGCGAAAGCCUGAUGCAGCGACGCCGCGUGAGGGAUGAAGGCCUUCGGGUUGUAAACCUCUUUCAGCAGGGAAGAAGCGCAAGUGACGGUACCUGCAGAAGAAGCGCCGGCUAACUACGUGCCAGCAGCCGCGGUAAUACGUAGGGCGCAAGCGUUGUCCGGAAUUAUUGGGCGUAAAGAGCUCGUAGGCGGUUUGUCGCGUCUGGUGUGAAAACUCGAGGCUCAACCUCGAGCUUGCAUCGGGUACGGGCAGACUAGAGUGCGGUAGGGGAGACUGGAAUUCCUGGUGUAGCGGUGGAAUGCGCAGAUAUCAGGAGGAACACCGAUGGCGAAGGCAGGUCUCUGGGCCGCAACUGACGCUGAGGAGCGAAAGCAUGGGGAGCGAACAGGAUUAGAUACCCUGGUAGUCCAUGCCGUAAACGUUGGGCACUAGGUGUGGGGCUCAUUCCACGAGUUCCG